rnacentral:rRNA from 1 species
AUACGUAGGUGGCGAGCGUUAUCCGGAUUUACUGGGUGUAAAGGGCGAGUAGGCGGGCAUGCAAGUCAGAUGUGAAAUUUAUGGGCUCAACCCAUAACCUGCAUUUGAAACUGUGUGUCUUGAGUGAUGGAGAGGCAGGCGGAAUUCCGUGUGUAGCGGUGAAAUGCGUAGAUAUACGGAGGAACACCAGUGGCGAAGGCGGCCUGCUGGACAUUAACUGACGCUGAGGCGCGAAAGCGUGGGGAGC